rnacentral:pre_miRNA from 1 species
CGCCAUAAGCAGGUGAAGCUGCCAGCAUGAUCUGAAAGCAUAUGCGUUUUCAAACCAGCGAUCAGGUCAUCCGGCAGCUUCAUCUUCUCAUGGC